rnacentral:lncRNA from 1 species
UUUUUUUUUUUUUUUGUCUUUUGUCUUUGUUGUUGUUGUUGUUGUUGCUAUUUCUUGGGCCGCUCCCGCGGCAUAUGGAGGUUCCAAGGCUAGGGGUUGAAUCGGAGCUGUAGCUCCUGGCCUACACCAGAGCCACAACAACGCGGGAUCCGAGCCGCGUCUGCAACCUACACCACAGCUCACGGCAACGCCGGAUUGUUAACCCACUGAGCAAGGGCAGGGACCGAACCCGCAACCUCAUGGUUCCUAGUCGGAUUCGUUAACCACUGCGCCACGACAGGAACUCCAAAAACCACUAUUCUUAAGAGUACAAAUUUGGUUAAAUGAAAGAUUUACAAAGAAUUGAAAACUGGGAAGGAAAAAAUAAAUCAAAUGAAAAGCACUGAGUGUCAUGGAGAAAAAAACCACAAAAGUACUUCAGAAAUCUUCCAUAUCUUCCCCUGACUUGACUUCAAGCCAAAGUAAAAUUUUAAGUCCUAAUUCCUCUGGGAAAUGAUAAGAAUGUCCUGAAGUAGAACCUGACUUUGAUCUGGAAGGAGAAGAUUUAAAUAUAAUUUUUUCGAUGCCACAUGCCCUCUGUAAACUAUUAUUUCUCACCUCUUUCAGAGCCAAACCUUUUUUUUGGGGCCAUGCCCAUAGCUAAGAUAUACUUUUGUAUGUUACCCUUUAAGCAACUGCUUUAUUUUAGCAUGUUUAAAACUUAAAAUAAGUUUUUAUUGCAGUUCCCUGGUGGCCUAGCUGGGAAAAGAUCCUGUGUUGUCACUGAUGUGGCACUGGCUGCAGCUGUGGCGUGGGUUCAGUCCCUGGCCCAUGAACUUCUGUAUGCUGUGGGCAAAGCCAAAAAAAUAAACUUUGGGGACAAUUGCUAAGAAACUAUGAAAGAUCCAAUGUAAUACAACAUUAAUGGUUAAGUCUGGUAAUGCAGGGUAAAGAAGGAGUAAAGCUGAGUUUUUCUUUGGCUCAAAGUGAAGAAAAAAAUAGGUUAGGUUAUGUCAAGGAUUAUGGUUCCUGAGUUUUACCUUCUGGUGGUGGAGUUGCUCAAAACAAGUCCCUAGGCUAUUCCAUUUGUAACCACUUAUGUGCCAAAUUCAUCAAAUCGUGAGUUAAGGGUAAGGAGGGUGACUGAUGAGCAUUUCCUAAAGUGUUUAAGACAGAACUGAGGAUUCACCUUUACAGCAAGUUCAAAAACAUGGGGCAUCAUCAGAGUCCAUAUCAUAUUAAUUACGAAUAGUACCUACUUACAUAACUGCUUACAAUUGUGUAUCUCUGUAGUUUCCAUGAGUGGCUAUAUUCACGAACAUAUUUAUAUUGGACUAAAUUUAUAUACUUGUUCUUGAAAUGAUUUCCAGUGCCGCUUUAUCCAAACCCAUUAAAAACUGAGAAAAACUGUAGGAGGGCUCACUUUUCUGAUUAAUCAUUAGCUACUGACAUUUCGAUUUUACAUCUUGACCUUGGGAUAUUUACUGCAUUUACCUUUUGCAGCAACUAAAUCCAGGAGCUAAAAUUAUGUCAACUUCUUACAAACACAACAGUGGGUCAACUAAAACAAGAUUAGAAAACAAGUAUUAGUUUUCUGAAUAUCGUUAACACAAAGUAAACUGUUCAAAAUAUGAAAUAUUAUAGUUUUCAGAAUGAGUUAAAGGUAUUCUCUGGAGAAACUCCAACUGCUGAUUGUUUGGCAUGCUCAUCUGUGUCCACUUUAGAAAUACAUACUAUAGGAGUUUCCCUGUGGCACAGCAGGGUAAGGACUCCAGGAUGUCACUGCUGAGAUCCCUAGCCCAGGAACUUCCACAUGUCCCAGGCAAGGGCCAAAACAAAACAAAAAACCCUCCAGAAAUAUACACCAUAGCAGAACUUAACUCAAUAUAAGGUUAUAAUACAUAUACAUGUUGGUUUUUUUGUCUUUUUAGGGCCACAACCAAGGCAUAUGGAGGUUCCCAGCUCAGGGGUUUAAUUGGAGCUGUAGCUGCUGGCCUACGCCACAGCCACAGCCACGCCAGAUCUAAGCCAUGUUUGCAACCUACACCACAGCUCACCGCAACUCACCGCAACACUGGAUCCUUAACCCACUAAGUGAGGCCAGGGAUCAAACCUGCGUCCUCAUGGAUGUUAGUCAGAUUUGUUUCCGCUGAGCCACAACAGGAACUCCCAUAAGGUUACGAUAUAAUGAGAACUUUUGUUAAAAUGUUCUUCAUUUUCUCCCUUAAGUUUGGUUAUCUUAACUCAAUUCUGUGAUCAGGUUAAAAUAAUUUUUACUUUAACUGCUGGGUUUACAUCACCUUUCAUUUCUGAGAAUGUUAAGAAAAUUGAUUUGAUCUGGGAAGAGAUACAGAAAGGCAGAUAACUAAUAGUUCUCUUGCAUUGAAUAGCCUGAAAUAUAAAAGCAUUAUUUUAGAACUUUUUGAGGCAUGAAACAAUUCUAACAUUUUUUUUAUGAUUUAGAAUAUCAUCUUAUUUAUUUAUUCUUUUUACCGCCACACCUGUGGCAUAUGGAAGUUCCUAGGCUAGGGGUCAAAUCAGAGCUGCAGCUGGGGCUUGUGACAUAGCUGAAUCUGUGAUCUAAGUUGUAGCUUGUGGCAAUGCUAGAUCCUUACCCAAGUGAAUGAGGUUAUGAAGCAACCGACAACCUCACAGAGACAACGGGUCCUUAACUUGCUAAGCCAUAACGGGAACUCUAAAUAUCAUCUUUUGGAGAAUUUAUAGUGAUUCUUAAUGAAGGGAGACAGGGUCUAAUUUUCAUAAUCAAUUGUGGGCCUUUUUUGAACUACACAGGUACACAAGCAAAAUUUUAUUGUUAUGUAAUUUUUUCCACUUCAGCCACCCCAGGCCCUAAGAUGAUCUCAGUAACAGGAAUUUUACAUUCCUUAUGUGGUAUGGGUUAAAAAAAACCCCUGCUGCCCUGUAUCACUUUAUCAGAGGAAAAAACUGGAAAUGUAUUCUACUAAGAAUUCGGUCAUUGAAGUAUGACUUACCAAUAACUCACUAAGAGUUCAUCUGAGGUAAUCCCUGUCUUUAUGUCCUAAGUACUCGAGACAACUUUUUAAAAACUUAAAAAAAUCCACAACAAACUUACAAGUUCCAAGGUCCAAGGUCCUCUACUAGAUGCUUCGCAUAACUCUGUUUAAUCCUCACCAAGAGGCUGCUACUACCACUGAAGCUUAAAAUGUUACUAAUUUCUGUAAAAAACUAGCAAGCCAUUUAAUAUAGAUUUGAAACUGAAGCAGCAGGGAUCCAGAGGCCACUAAUAUGGUUUAAGACACUAAAGUCAGCUUUACAUAACCAUUUCCAAGAGGACCUUCCUCCUCUAAAGGAGGAGGAUUCAUUAAGGGUUGGAUUCUUGGGGCUGCUUUAAAAUUUUUAUAUAGUUGCUCUCUUUCUCAUGUUUUUAUUCUUCAGCAGUUAUGGAUGAAAGACUGCUAAGAAUUUUGAAUAUAAAGAUCACAAAUUUAGUAACUGAGUCAAAAUAUCUGGAGCUAAAAAAAGGACACUCAUAUUAUUAUAUAUCAUGCACCCAAACACCACAAAUACUACAAUAACAUCAAUAAGUUUUUAAAAAUCAGGGUUUAGGGCAAGGAGUUACUAAAGCAAAAUUAUUUUCAGAAAAUUCUCAUGUCCAGAUACUUGUUUCUUUUAAAUAUCUGUUACUUUACCAUAACUGUCACAGCUUUGCACUCUUACUGACCAAGUGUCUCUUAUGAUCAGACUUUCUUAGUAUUAGACUAAACCUUCACUCUAAGAAAUCUCCAGGAAGCUACCAUCUUCUCCAGGAACUACCAUGUAUAAAUUGAUCCUUAGGUCAUCUAUACAUCUUCAAAAUACAUUUAUGAGUACAAUUAGUAAUAAAAUAUUUGCUAAAACUUUUGUUAUUGUGUGACACACCACAAAAAAUACGGGAUGUGGAGGGCUGCUCUACUCUACCUCUGUACACUCACCUACAGUAUUUUAAAAAUACACAACAGCUGGUUACAACCCUGGAGAAUAAUUCAGCUAGGAUGCGUGGGCAAUAAGCUAAACACUUCUAGAGUUCUAUAGGCAAUCCAGACACUUAGCCCCGUUGCAAAAACCCUUGCUCUAACAGAAGUAACUCAAUACUCUUUUAACAAGCUAUUUAUAAUACAAAUCAAAUUUUGAGAGGUAGAAAGAAGGUAGGUUUCUUUAUCUACUGAAGGCAUUUCUAAUUUCACUUUUCCUAAUCCAAGUUUUCUCCAGGACACUGAGGUUAUUCUUUCAGAAGCUGGCAUCACCAACUUCUCGAAUACUAGUGUUGUAAAUAAAAUUGCUAUGGAGUGCCAGGAUUCUUUUUUCCUAAGAGUCAUGGGGUUGUUUUUAGGGCUAUUAACUAGAUUUGUCUCAUUUCUUUAUGGUUAGAUGUUCAAUGACUAUAAGGCUGGAAAAAUUUCUAAUUACCCAAACAUAUGACGAAUUAAAGAAAUCACUGCAUUAUACAAGUCGCGUUUCUCACAUAUACUAUUUCUGAGAAAUCUGCUGGGUUCCAUUUCCUUCACAAAUUUGUCUUCCACAGUAACUCAAAUUGAGGUUAUUGCUUAUAUAAAGAAGUAUCUUACAAAAUAAAGUUUGUCUAAGACAUAAAAACACUCCUGAUUCACCAAGCCCUAAAAAUAAUCUGUAAGAAUGUGAAACUAAGUCUAAAUGUAAAUCUGUUCAGUUUAUCUCUAUUAAGCUUAAAAUACCACAGUUAUACUGAAGAUGAGAAAGAAAAUGGUAAAGAUUUUUUCCUUUUCCUAUACUUACCAACAUUACUUGCAAAGGUUAUUUCUGGAUAACAAAUAAUUUCAUGAGCCUUUCUCAUUAUUGUAUUCAUGGACAAGUGAGACUAAUACAUAUUACCUUUGUUUAAAAAUGAAACAGGAGUUCCCAUCGUGGCACACUGGAAACAAAUCCGACUAGGAACCAUGAGGUUGCGGGUUUGAUCCCUGGACUUCUCGCUAAGUGGGUUAAGGAUCCAGCGUUGCCUUGAGCUAUGGUGUAUGUUGCAGACUUGGCUGGGAUCUGGAAUGGCUGUGGUGUAGGCUGGCAGGUGUAGCUCUGAUUCGACCCCUAGCCUGGGAACCUCCAUAUGCCACGGGUAUGGCCCUAAAAAGCAAAAAACAAACAAAAAACAGACCUGGAGUUCCUGUCGUGGCACAGCAGAAACAAAUCCGACUAGUAACCAUGAGAAUGCGGGUUCAAUCCCUGGCCUUGCUCAGUAAGUCAGUUAUCGGGUGUUGCCGUGAACUGCAGUUUAUGUCCCAGAGGUGAUGUAGGCCAGCAGCUACAGCUCUAAACCCCUAGCCUGAGAAUUGACAUGUUCUGUGGGUGUGGCCCUAAAAAGCAAAAAAAAAAAAGAAAAAAAAAAAAAAAAAAAAAAAAGAAAAGAAAAGAAACAAACCUACUUAUCUGAUUUAUCUGCAGCAUGACAUAUAUAAGAUCAUUCUUCAGAAAACUCUUUUUGUAAUUGUCAUCUGCAUACAUCUGGGUGAUGUUUCUACCAUGUUUUUGUCUUUUGUAAUCACUCUGCCUAGCCUUUCUUUGAUAUAAUCCAUUUAUCAGCAAUAAUUUUAACUCCUAACAGGUGAAGUGCAUAGCUCUACCGACCCAGUAAUUCAUUACUUUUGUUUUCACAAUAACAUGCAAAAUGAAACGUUUAACAGCACAAAUAUAUCAGCAUUUUUAGCCCUUCAGACACUUUCAGGAAGAAAUUUCCCAUCUUUUCAUAGUGUAGAUAGACUCUGAAAAAAAAACACACAGCAUUGUUUUAGUAACUGGAAAAAAAAUCACAGUUCAUUUGAGACACUGGGCAAAAUUACUUGAUCUCAGUUACUUAGUUUAAAAGAAAAUCAGUUCCUAAAGUAGUCGUAUAUAUGGAGUUCUACAAAUUAAACACUAAAUGUAUUUUUAAAAUAGCGAUCCAUGCUACCGAAGAUCCAGUCUUCGCAGUAUUUUUAAGCAUACACCCUAAGUUUCUUCAAAUGCCGCUACAUUCCGGAACCAAACGCCAGCCUUAAACAGGUAUUCCCUUACAACAUCUGCCUGCCUUCGCGGGCACGUAUGAAGAUGUUUUAAACCAAGUUUAUUUACUUCCGUAGGAUUCAGUCCCUGUCACUUCUUUACUGCAGGCCCAAAGCAUCGUCCUUUUUCCAGCUCAGCUAUCGUCCAACAUCGAUUUCUUUGGAACCUUUUCCAAAUCAUCUCUGUAUGAAAAACCAGUGAAGGUGCAACACCUUGGGAAGGAUUAAGGCUGGCUGGAGAAUGAAUGACAAGAUAAAAAAUAAAUUUGGGAAGGGCAGCCCAAUUCUGUAGGUGGAAUCUUCUCCGACCAAAGGUGAGAGUGGCCACGCCGGGUCCCCGCAUCUACCAAAAAACACAACCGCCCCGACUAUCCUGUUUACGGUGCUCUGAGACCAGGAGACAAACUCCCUCAAUCCCUUAAUUAUAAACGGUGCAAGUGACAGGGACCAAUACCUGCAGGACCCUGAGGCCGAGGCCCACUCGGCCUCUGAUGCCGCCACUAGCCGGGCUCGUCCGACUCAGUCCCCAGGUACCGCUUCCAGCCCCUCCCACCCCGGUACCCAGGUUCGGAACCCCAGGCUCUUCGGCCCGCUUGUCCUCCUCCUCACCGUCCCCUCUGCACCACCUCUCGGCUCCCGCGUUCCCUAAAACCUCAGCCGGCGCGGCGGAACCUUCCCCGCGCUCCUAACAUGGCGGCCGAGUCCCCUUUACUCCCUU